CUCGAUCCAUAACUAUUUAUCUUCUCUUGUGCACCUUUUGUAGUCUUUCAGAGCAAGUGAUAACUCUCGCAGCAAUGCGGUUUGGGGGACUUGGGCGUGAGCCCUUCCCCUGCGUUUGCUUCUUUGGAGGGCUAUGUUUUCAUAUACACUAUAAAGUUACAGAAUGUCUUUUAAAGAUUGUGCUAGUCGCAGUCAUUAAACCUAUACAACUUUCAGCAACGGAUCUCUUGGCUCUCCCAUCGAUGAAGAACGCAGCGAAAUGCGAUAAGUAAUGUGAAUUGCAGAAUUCAGUGAAUCAUCGAAUCUUUGAACGCACCUUGCGCCCUUUGGUAUUCCGAAGGGCAUGCCUGUUUGAGUGUCAUUAAAUUCUCAACCCAAAAAGCUUUUACGAGCUCUUUUGUGGCUUGGAUGUGGGGGUUUUUGCUGGCUUCCUUCAGUGGAUGGUCUGCUCCCCUUAAAUGCAUUAGUGGGAUCUCUUGUGGACCGUCACUUGGUGUGAUAAUUAUCUAUGCCAGUUGACUUUGAAGCAAAACUUAUGGGAACCCGCUCAUAACCGUCUUCGGACAACUUAUUGACAUUUUGACCUCAAAUCAGGUAGGACUACCCGCUGAACUUAAGCAUAUCAAUAAGCGGAGGAAAAGAAACUAACAAGGAUUCCCCUAGUAACUGCGAGUGAAGCGGGAAAAGCUCAAAUUUAAAAUCUGGCGGUCCCUGUGGCCGUCCGAGUUGUAAUUUAGAGAAGUGUUAUCCGCGCUGGACCGU
rnacentral:rRNA from 1 species